ensembl:lncRNA
UGGUGGGGAGUUGCCCAAAAUUGCCGUUUUUAGCCCCAAAAUGAAGGGUUCCGAAACCUGACCAGAAAUGGCCAUUUCCAGCUCCCCAAAACCGUCAUUUUUCACCCCAAAUCGGGGCUCCCCUCCGGCCCGCUCCCUCCGCUUCGGGCCCGUCCCCAAAAUCUCGAUUUUUUCACCCAAAAAAACGCCAAAAAAGCGAAGUUUCGGGGGAGAGGGUGGGGGUUGGAUUUUGGGUGGAAUUCCGGCGUUUUUGGGUCAUUUUGGGGUGUUUUUUUCUUGCAGGAGCUGCUGCGCUCGCUGCUCCCCGCCGUGCUGCGGGCCCUGCGCGACCUGAUCGACGCCGACGAGGAGCUGGGCGCCGACGCGCUGGAGGUGCUGGAUGAGUUCAUGGCGGCCGACCCCGCGGCCGUGACCUCUGACCUCCGACCUCUGCUCGACCUCUGCCUCCAGGCCUUGCAGCGCGAGCUGGGGCCGCUGGUGGGGGCCCUGGUGGGGCUGCUCUGCUCCCCCCCCCCCAGGGGCACCCGGACCCCGAGGACGCGGAGCAGUGGGGGGGGAAUGGGGAGGAGGGGCCCAGCCCUCGGCACAGCGCCGCCCAGGUGAGCCAAAAUCGCGGGAUUUCACCCCAAAUCUCAGCCCCCUCCCCCCACUUAACCUCCCCCCAUAGAGAUCACCAUGGGGGGGGAGGGGAGCACGCCGGCCCAGGUGACCCAAAACCGCCUGAAUUCGCCCCAAAUCUGAGCCCCCGCCCCCCCCCAUAGAGACCAGCACAAGGGGGGGGGGAGCAGCCAGGCCCAGGUGACCCAAAAUCGCGGGAUUUUGCCCCAAA